UCUAGUAUCACCAAUUCCAAGGUCCUCUCUCUCUCUCUAUGUACAAACUGAUGCUUCUGUGCUUGUCUUGUUGCUUCAUUUUUCAACAAUUAGAUCUGAUUUUGAAAUUUUUAUUGAUUUUGGUUCCCUUUCAUUUCAGAAAAUUUUUAUUUGGUAAUUUAUCUAUGAAAUUUACUUAAGUGAUAGGCUCACCUUCUCGGCAAAGGUUUGAACUUCGCAUUUAGAUAGGAGAGUUUGAAAUACAUGGAUACCGACUGAAAUGGUUGAUUGGAUUUCUUUUUCGUGUUUUUUGGUGUACCAACUGUAGACUGGGUAGUAUUGGAGUUGCAUUACAAGUUGUCAUUUGUCAGGAUUCCUUUUAUCAUGCUGAAGCACAAUUUAGCAUCUAUGGAAAUUAGAAUGAUCAAGAAAAAUAUAUGAAAGCGAUCUUAGUGGCAGUAUCCAUCUCAAUCUUACUAACAUUCAAACGGAGGUUGGCUUUCUGCCAUUUAAUGAGUUGGGUCACAAGUAAUUUUGAUAUAGGACAGGUUAGAGGAUUCAACAUUUUCUGUUUAUAUGCCCAAGAACAUUUCUGACUUAAUGUCAAAACACUGAUAAAUGAUAACACAGGAAUUUGAACCAUUUGGAUAAUUUCUUUGUUGUAAUGAACUAGCGGAAUUGUAUUGAAGCCUAAAUGCGUAACCACAUGGAAAAUUGAUCAGAUUGAGGAGAAAAUACCAAUGACUUGUAACAAAUUCCUUUUAGUGUUAUAAGAGAACAGCGAAUGUUCUUUUGAUUGAUAGGCUGUGAAACAGCUGCAGUAAAUGAAAUCUUAAAUUUUUAGCUUUAUUAACUUCUAGUUAGAUUAGAAAAUACUGAGAAAAUUAAGUACUAACUUAUUUUGGAUGCAAGAAACCUCCACUUCUCCACCAAAGCAACAACUCUGACAACAUUAUUCAAUCAAUUCUGUGCGGCUGCCACUUAAAGCUUCUAGACAACUGAGAAUAAUUCCCCAAAUUUUUGUUAAUACCCUAAUCCAAUCCUACUGGUUGGACAUAAGAACCAACAUCAACCAUGGCCCCAUUAUAUUAGCGUUUGUCAAUAAUAAUCCCCAAUUCCAUUUCUGAUCUUGUUGAUCCUUUUAUUCCAUAUUUAUCCUACAUUCUCAAUGUCCCUGUCUGCUUUUGUGGGUUAAAUUUCACAGAUGAUCCGUCAUCACUUAAUUUCAACAUGGUAACUAAAUAACUCUUUAAUUUUAUUAGUUGGUACAAAAGAUUUUUUUUUGUACUGAAAAAUCAAAUAGCUUCCAGAAAAUAUUCUUAGUAGCCUUAUUUACAAAACUAAAGUUAAAUGAUUUUUACAUUGCAAAAUUGAAAAUUAGUUAGCACACCAAAAUUACGAGAUCAAUUGUUGCCCUUCUCUUGCCUGCUUUGUUUCCUGGAUUCAGGCAAUAUUGACUCUCUUAAUUAUCAUAUUCACAAAUUUGAUCUUAUCCAUCAAUGGCUAUUCCAAUUUUCCAUGUGAAAUUGUAAAUCCAACAUAUAUGGAGUUAUUUCCUUGCAAAGGAGGGUAAAAUCAAUUCUUCUUGCUUGUCCUCUUCAAACUUUGGGAGCAUAAGAAAUGUUUCCAUGCUAAUUUCAUAGGUUGCACUUCUCAUUCCCAUUUUUUGAGUAAUCUGGUGGCUUGAAAAUCUUGUUCUUUAUCUUUCUAAUAAUAGUAAAACUGCAGGUAAUUGAUUUGCUUCUCUUCAAAGGAAUGGAAGAGCUGAGUAACAUUACAGAGCAUGCAAAGCAGCGUCAUCAUGUUAUUGGCCAAUAUGUAGUGGGUCAACAAGGUCUUGUGCAGGAUUUGGAUACCAAGGAUCAAGGCAUCUCUGAUUUCCUCAAGAACUUCUACAAGAGC
rnacentral:misc_RNA from 1 species